rnacentral:rRNA from 1 species
AGUCUGACGGAGCACGCCGCGUGAGUGAUGAAGGUUUUCGGAUCGUAAAACUCUGUUGUUAGGGAAGAACAAGUGCGAGAGUAACUGCUCGCACCUUGACGGUACCUAACCAGAAAGCCACGGCUAACUACGUGCCAGCAGCCGCGGUAAUACGUAGGUGGCAAGCGUUGUCCGGAAUUAUUGGGCGUAAAGCGCGCGCAGGCGGUUUCUUAAGUCUGAUGUGAAAGCCCCCGGCUCAACCGGGGAGGGUCAUUGGAAACUGGGAAACUUGAGUGCAGAAGAGGAGAGUGGAAUUCCACGUGUAGCGGUGAAAUGCGUAGAGAUGUGGAGGAACACCAGUGGCGAAGGCGACUCUCUGGUCUGUAACUGACGCUGAGGCGCGAAAGCGUGGGGAGCGAACAGGAUUAGAUACCCUGGUAGUCCACGCCGUAAACGAUGAGUGCUAAGUGUUAGAGGGUUUCCGCCCUUUAGUGCUGCAGCUAACGCAUUAAGCACUCCGCCUGGGGAGUACGGUCGCAAGACUGAAACUCAAAGGAAUUGGACGGA